rnacentral:rRNA from 1 species
AGCGAACGCUGGCGGCAGGCUUAACACAUGCAAGUCGAGCGGGCACUUCGGUGUCAGCGGCAGACGGGUGAGUAACACGUGGGAACGUACCCUUCGGUUCGGAAUAACGCCGGGAAACUAGCGCUAAUACCGGAUACGCCCUUUUGGGGAAAGGUUUACUGCCGAAGGAUCGGCCCGCGUCUGAUUAGCUAGUUGGUGGGGUAAUGGCCUACCAAGGCGACGAUCAGUAGCUGGUCUGAGAGGAUGAUCAGCCACACUGGGACUGAGACACGGCCCAGACUCCUACGGGAGGCAGCAGUGGGGAAUAUUGGACAAUGGGCGCAAGCCUGAUCCAGCCAUGCCGCGUGAGUGAUGAAGGCCUUAGGGUUGUAAAGCUCUUUUGUCCGGGACGAUAAUGACGGUACCGGAAGAAUAAGCCCCGGCUAACUUCGUG